rnacentral:rRNA from 1 species
AUUGAACGCUGGCGGCAGGCCUAACACAUGCAAGUCGAACGGUAACAGGAAGCAGCUUGCUGCUUCGCUGACGAGUGGCGGACGGGUGAGGAAUGUCUGGGAAACUGCCUGAUGGAGGGGGAUAACUACUGGAAACGGUAGCUAAUACCGCAUAACGUCGCAAGACCAAAGAGGGGGACCUUAGGGCCUCUUGCCAUCGGAUGUGCCCAGAUGCGAUUGGUUAGUAGGUGGGGUAACGGCUCACCUAGGCGACGAUCCCUAGCUGGUCUGAGAGGAUGACCAGCCACACGGGAACUGAGACACGGUCCAGACUCCUACGGGAGGCAGCAGUGGGGAAUAUUGCACAAAGGGCGCAAGCCUGAUGCAGCCAUGCCGCGUGUAUGAAGAAGGCCUUCGGGUUUUAAAGUACUUUCAGCGGGGAGGAAGGGAGUAAAGUUAAUACCUUUGCUCAUUGACGUUACCCGCAGAAGAAGCACCGGCUAACUCCGUG